AUGAAGAGUUUGAUCCUGGCUCAAGUAAACUUUGGGCGGCCCCCUAACACAUGCAAGUCGAGCGAAGUAGUUUACUACUUAGCGGCAAAGGGGGGUGAUAAACUUGGAUAACCUCCCUUUAAAGGUCUGGGACAACUAGGGGAAACGAGCAAUCCGGGAUAUGACCACAUUUACAAAGGUAAGAGUGGAAAAAGAUUUAUCGCCUUUAGAUGGGCCCAAGUCGCAUCAGGUUGUUGGUGGGGUAAUGGCCUCCAAACCAUGACGCGUAGCAGGUCUUAGCGGAUGAUCUGCCCAUGGGGACUGAGAUACGGGCCCCGACCCCACGGGGGGGCAGCAGUGAGGGUAUUGGGCAAUGGGCAAGUCUGACCCAGCGAUGCCCGCGUGAAGGAUGAAGGCCGGGUUGUAAACCUGUCAGCAGGGAAGAUAAUGACGGUACCUGCAGAGGAAGCCCGGGUAACUCCGUGCCAGCAGCCCGGGGGAAAACGGAGGGGGGAAGCUUCUAACUGGGCGAAAAGGGGCCGUAGGCGUUCUUUAAGUUAGAUGUGGCUUGAAACAAAUUUAAAAUUGCAUUAAAACUGGAGAACUAGGUUCUUUGGGGAGGGGUUUAUGGAAUUACCGGUGUAGCGGUGAAAUCGUAGAUAUCGGUAGGAACACCAGUGGCGAAAGCGAUCAAAUGGCCCAAAUAAACGGGGUGAGGGGCAGCGUGGGUAGAAACAGGAUUAGAUACCCUGGUAGUCCAGCCAAACGAUGAAAACUAGAUGUAGGGUUUAAUUCUGUAUCUAGCUAAGCAUUAAGUAUUCCGCCUGGGAGUACGGUCGCAAGGCGAAACUCAAAAAUUUGGGGGGGCUCGCACAAGCGGUGGAGCAUUUGGGUUUUAAAUUUGAUGCGCGAAGAACCUUUCCCGGGGUUGACAUGUAAGCAUAACCGUGGCGUGGGUAAUUUGGGCUUAAAUUGGUUUAAAAGGUGCUGCAUGGCUGUCGUCAGCUCGUGCCGUGAGGUGUCCGGUUAAGUCCGGUAACGAGCGCAACCCCUAUUAUCAGUUGCCAUCACUUCGGGUGGGCACUCUGGUGAAACUGCUGGUUUGAAACUAGAGGAAGGAGGGGACGACGUCAAGUCAUCAUGGCCCUUAUGUCCUGGGCUACACACAUGCUACAAUGGCAGAUACAACGGGUUGCGAACUCGCGAGGGGGAGCUAAUCUCAUCAAAGUCUGUCUCAGUUCGGAUUGCAGGCUGCAACUCGCCUGCAUGAAGUUGGAAUCGCUAGUAAUCGCGGAUCAGCUAUGCCGCGGUGAAUACGUUCCCGGGUCUUGCACACACCGCCCGUCACACCACGAAAGUCGGUCUUACCCGAAGCAGCUGGGCUAACCCUUUUGGGAGGCAGGUUUCUAAGGUAAGGUUGGUGAUUGGGGUGAAGUCGUAACAAGGUAGCCGUACCGGAAGGUGCGGCUGGAUCACCUCCUU
rnacentral:rRNA from 1 species